GCAAUUUAUUUUUAGGAAGGAAUUAAAAGUAAAAUCUAGCCUUUUAAGGCAAAAAUUAGAAGUGAAAUUGCAAUCCAAGUAGGACAAGGAUAUGCAAAUUUCAUUCCAUGUAGGAGAAGAUAUGCGUUUCAAACAAUAUAUAUGGGCACUGGACAGAAGAAAAAUCCAUUCUUACACAUCCUCUACCUGGUUCUGAGUUCUCACACCCACCUGCGUAAUGACUAACCUAAAGCCAACGAGAAGUAUAAACAAAUGCAAAAGAAAGAAUUAUCAUCACCAGUUCAAGUGUGUUCCAAAAGAAAUUCUGACAGAAAUUCUGGCUCGAGUUGCCUCCUCAUCAGUCACUGAUCUCAUCAAUGCCAAAGCGUGUUGCAAGGAGUUUCGUGAAGCUGCGUCAGAAGAUUACGUAUUUGAGCAUGCCACAAUUGAUUCUUUCCCUGUCAUUCCAUGGAAGAUCAACCAUGGUGCCUCUUCUUUCUUAGAGAGGUGCAAGAAGAGUGGUAAUCCAGAAGCCUUGUUUAGACAAGGAAUGAUCGAUUAUUUUAGCACCUUGAAAUAUGAUUCUGGACUGAAGUUCUUGGAGAAAGCAGCUAGCAAAGGGCAUGCGGAAGCUAUAUAUGUGUAUGGGAUGAUACUUAUGUGCUAUGGUGGUGACCUGAGGAAUAAUGGAGUGAAGCUACUUUCUGAUUUGAAGAGAUCAAAAUCAAGCUUGUUUAUGACAGAAUGUAGAAAGAAAGUGAAAAGAAUUGUCUGGAGCAUGUGGGUGAACAAUUAUAUAAUUGGAAUUGGACCCGCCGAAGAAGAAGAGUACACGAACAGAAGACCCUGCACUCACCACAAUACAAAGGCAUUGUGCUCUUUUACUGCUAGUCAGACUAAAAAUAGAACAGGAUGGACAUCUUCUUUGGAAGAUUUUGAAGAUGACCCUCUUUCAUGUGAUUCUUGUUUGUGGGAACUAGAAGCAACUCUGUUU
rnacentral:misc_RNA from 1 species